rnacentral:rRNA from 1 species
CCUACGGGAGGCUGCAGUGAGGAAUAUUGGUCAAUGGGCGCGAGCCUGAACCAGCCAAGUCGCGUGAGGGAAGACGGUCCUAUGGAUUGUAAACCUCUUUUGUCGGGGAGCAAAAGACGCCACGCGUGGCGUUCCGCGAGUACCCGAAGAAAAAGCAUCGGCUAACUCCGUGCCAGCAGCCGCGGUAAUACGGAGGAUGCGAGCGUUAUCCGGAUUUAUUGGGUUUAAAGGGUGCGCAGGCGGAAGAUCAAGUCAGCGGUAAAAUUGAGAGGCUCAACCUCUUCGAGCCGUUGAAACUGGUUGUCUUGAGUGAGUGAGAAGUAUGCGGAAAGCGGGGUGUAGCGGUGAAAUGCAUAGAUAUCACGCAGAACUCCGAUUGAGAAGGCAGCAUACCGGCGCUCAACUGACGCUCAUGCACGAAAGUGUGGGUAUCGAACAGGAUUAGAUACCCGAGUAGUC